rnacentral:rRNA from 1 species
AUUGAACGCUGGCGGCAGGCCUAACACAUGCAAGUCGAGCGGUAGCACAGAGAGCUUGCUCUCGGGUGACGAGCGGCGGACGGGUGAGUAAUGUCUGGGAAACUGCCUGAUGGAGGGGGAUAACUACUGGAAACGGUAGCUAAUACCGCAUAAUGUCGCAAGACCAAAGUGGGGGACCUUCGGGCCUCAUGCCAUCAGAUGUGCCCAGAUGGGAUUAGCUAGUAGGUGGGGUAAUGGCUCACCUAGGCGACGAUCCCUAGCUGGUCUGAGAGGAUGACCAGCCACACUGGAACUGAGACACGGUCCAGACUCCUACGGGAGGCAGCAGUGGGGAAUAUUGCACAAUGGGCGCAAGCCUGAUGCAGCCAUGCCGCGUGUGUGAAGAAGGCCUUCGGGUUGUAAAGCACUUUCAGCGGGGAGGAAGGCGGUGAGGUUAAUAACCUCAUCGAUUGACGUUACCCGCAGAAGAAGCACCGGCUAACUCCGUGCCAGCAGCCGCGGUAAUACGGAGGGUGCAAGCGUUAAUCGGAAUUACUGGGCGUAAAGCGCACGCAGGCGGUCUGUCAAGUCGGAUGUGAAAUCCCCGGGCUUAACCUGGGAACUGCAUUCGAAACUGGCAGGCUAGAGUCUUGUAGAGGGGGGUAGAAUUCCAGGUGUAGCGGUGAAAUGCGUAGAGAUCUGGAGGAAUACCGGUGGCGAAGGCGGCCCCCUGGACAAAGACUGACGCUCAGGUGCGAAAGCGUGGGGAGCAAACAGGAUUAGAUACCCUGGUAGUCCACGCCGUAAACGAUGUCGAUUUGGAGGUUGUGCCCUUGAGGCGUGGCUUCCGGAGCUAACGCGUUAAAUCGACCGCCUGGGGAGUACGGCCGCAAGGUUAAAACUCAAAUGAAUUGACGGGGGCCCGCACAAGCGGUGGAGCAUGUGGUUUAAUUCGAUGCAACGCGAAGAACCUUACCUGGUCUUGACAUCCACAGAACUUAGCAGAGAUGCUUUGGUGCCUUCGGGAACUGUGAGACAGGUGCUGCAUGGCUGUCGUCAGCUCGUGUUGUGAAAUGUUGGGUUAAGUCCCGCAACGAGCGCAACCCUUAUCCUUUGUUGCCAGCGGUUCGGCCGGGAACUCAAAGGAGACUGCCAGUGAUAAACUGGAGGAAGGUGGGGAUGACGUCAAGUCAUCAUGGCCCUUACGACCAGGGCUACACACGUGCUACAAUGGCAUAUACAAAGAGAAGCGACCUCGCGAGAGCAAGCGGACCUCAUAAAGUAUGUCGUAGUCCGGAUUGGAGUCUGCAACUCGACUCCAUGAAGUCGGAAUCGCUAGUAAUCGUAGAUCAGAAUGCUACGGUGAAUACGUUCCCGGGCCUUGUACACACCGCCCGUCACACCAUGGGAGUGGGUUGCAAAAGAAGUAGGUAGCUUAACCUUCGGGAGGGCGCUUACCACUUUGUGAUUCAUGACUGGGGUG